AAGUCGAACGAAGUAGCAAUACUUAGUGGCAGACGGGUGAGUAACAUGUAGGUAUCUGCCCUUUGGCCUGGAAUAACACGAGGAAACUUGUGCUAAUACCGGAUAAGUCUUUACGGAGAAAGCUUUAUGCACCAUUGGAUGAGCCUGCACUUGAUAGUUUGUUGGUGGGGUAAUGGCCUACCAAGACUGUGAUCAAUAGCUGAUUUGAGAGGAUGAUCAGCCACAUUGGGACUGAGACACGGCCCAAACUCCUACGGGAGGCAGCAGUGGGGAAUCUUGCACAAUGGAGGAAACUCUGAUGCAGCGAUGCCGCGUGAGUGAAGAAGGCCCUUGGGUUGUAAAGCUCUUUCGUCGGGGAAGAAAAUGACUGUACCCGAAUAAGAAGGCCCGGCUAACUUCGUGCCAGCAGCCGCGGUAAUACGAAGGGACCUAGCGUAGUUCGGAAUUACUGGGCUUAAAGAGUUCGUAGGUGGUUGAAAAAGUUAGUGGUGAAAUCCCAGAGCUUAACUCUGGAACUGCCAUUAAAACUUUUCAGCUAGAGUAUGAUAGAGGAAAGCAGAAUUUCUAGUGUAGAGGUUGAAUUCGUAGAUAUUAGAAAGAAUACCAAUUGCGAAGGCAGCUUUCUGGAUCAUUACUGACACUGAAGGAACGAAAGCAUGGGUAGCGAAAAGGAUUAGAUACCCUCGUAGUCCAUGCCGUAAACGAUGUG
rnacentral:rRNA from 1 species